AACUUUACCUUACGGUCUCAAUCUUUUGAAUAUAGGAAAUUGAUGUUAUAUCUCAUCUUGUUAUACUUUGCAUUUAAAAUAAACCUAUUGAAUCAGAUAUAGAAUGUAAGGAGCUAAACAAUUAAUACAAGAAAUAAUUACACAUAUAUACACCAGCUCAUAUUUAUGGAGUACCACCCACAUAAAAUAUCCCAGGACAAUGAGCCCUUUGAUUAAGCUCAGAGAUUCUUCAUGGACAGUAGAGCUGAUGAAAGCAAGCCUCUCUCUGGAGUUGCAGGAAGAUUAUGCACCAGCCUCUAUGUGGCUUGAGUAAUUUAUUUUAAAGGUGCACCUGCUCCUGCCAGCUGUGAAACAUUUGGUAAGGUGACCUGAGGCUCAUGCCAACUGCCUGUUGUCACCUGAAAGGCACACAGGGAGGGAGGAAGUUGGAUGUACAAGGGAGACAUUCUGGAAUCUUUGAAGUGGCAGUAGUUGCUAUGGAAACCCCUCUGGAUGGUGCACUGGAAAAAGUCUAUCUCCUGAGUUCAAAGGACAAGCUUCUCUGAUAGGUGCUGGAUAGAGAGGGGCUUGACAGUGACCCCAGCCUCUUAAUGUCUGGGUCAACCUGCCUGAAAAUAAGGAUAACAAUACCUACUUCCUGAGGCCAGGAUGGCCCUUCAAUGAAUUAAUGCACAUAAAUCACCCAGCACAGUGCCUAUUGGUACUGGGAGCCCAAUGAUAGUGAGACCAACUGCUGCUUCUCCCGGAGCGGGCUACGUCCACUCCUCAUCUGAACACAGCCACUGCUCACGGCUACAUGGACACAUGAACUUCCCCACUCCUUCCUGCCAUCCAGCUGCUGUCUUCUCUGCACAGACUCCACACCGCCAAGACCACUUUAUUUCCUGCGUAGCUAAUUCCUACUCACUGUUUCAAGGUAUCCUGAAAGAGCCUCUAAGAGCAUGCUAUCCGAAAACCUCAUGAAGGAGCAUCUCACAGGCGAUGGUGAUCCCACAGGCGAGUCACAGAAUCAUGUGACAUUACACGAUGAAGUUUCAUGAGUUGACUGGGACCAGCUUCUCACUUGGACUCUGUCAUGUGGUUGCAGCUAGAUAGGAGCUGCAGAAAGAGCUAAGGCUUAACUUGUCAAGCCUUAACAAUUCAAGGGUUAAACUCUGUUGAUGUCCAAGAAGGCUCAUUCACAUGAGUGGUGAUUGAUGUUGGUUAUUGUGGAGCCCAGAUGGAGCCAUCAGAUCGCCUUUGCAUGGACUCUGAGUGGCUUGGACUACUUACAGCAUGAUGUCUGGGUCUGGAGAAACUACAUCCCAAAAGUGAAUAUUCUAUAUGGAAGAAAGUAGAAGCUCCUGGGCCAAUUAAAGGCGGUAACUAAAACAAGCAAAGUGUCAUUUCCACAGAAUUCUAUUAGCCAAAGCACUCAUAGGGCAGAUUCAACAGAGUGGAAACUUGCAGGGGGCUGGCAAAGCCAUGUAGUAGAGAAGUAUGCGGCAUGGGUCAUAUUACUGGGGACAUAGUUAGAAAAUACGAUCUUCUACAACAAUUCAUGCAUCUCCCACAUAUAAAUUGUGAUUACCAGUCCCCGAAGGAAUCCAG
ensembl:lncRNA